rfam:Rhizobiales bacterium 62-17 SCNpilot_cont_300_bf_scaffold_87, whole genome shotgun sequence.
GAGGUUCGGGGUCAACGCCCGGCAGCGCAAUGCGCCCCCGGGCGCGCUUCGC